rnacentral:rRNA from 1 species
GGGGGGGGGUUUUCGGGAUCCUAGGGCGUAAGCGCGUGUAGGUGGAUGCUUAAGUCCGUUGUGAAAUCUCCCGGCUCAACUGGGAGCGGUCAACGGAAACUGGGCGUCUUGAGUGAGGUAGGGGUCAUCGGAAUUCCUGGUGUAACGGUGAAAUGUUCAGAUAUCAGGAGGAACACCGACGGCGAAAGCAGAUGACUGGGCCUCCACUGACGCUGAGACGCGAAAGCUAGGGGAGUAAACAGGAUUAGAUACCCUGGUAAUCCUAGCCGUAAACGAUGAUAACUAGGUGUGGGAGGUAUCGACCCCUCCUGUGCCGACGCUAACGCAUUAAGUUAUCCGCCUGGGGAGUACGGCCGCAAGGUUAAAACUCAAAGGAAUUGACGGGGGCCCGCACAAGCGGUGGAGCAUGUGGUUUAAUUCGACGCAACGCGAAGAACCUUACCAAGGUUUGACAUGGACGGAAAUCCCGCAGAGAUGCGGGGUCCUUCGGGGCCGUUCACAGGUGGUGCAUGGCUGUCGUCAGCUCGUGUCGUGAGAUGUUGGGUUAAGUCCCGCAACGAGCGCAACCCUCGUCCCAUGUUGCCAGCGGGUUAUGCCGGGGACUCAUGGGAGACUGCCGGGGUCAACUCGGAGGAAGGUGGGGAUGACGUCAAGUCAUCAUGCCCCUUAUGUCUUGGGCUGCAAACAUGCUACAAUGGCCGGUACAGAGGGCUGCGAGCCUGCGAGGGUGAGCGAAUCCCGGAAAGCCGGUCUCAGUUCGGAUCGGGGUCUGCAACUCGACCCCGUGAAGUCGGAGUCGCUAGUAAUCGCGGAUCAGCAACGCCGCGGUGAAUACGUUCCCGGGCCUUGUACACACCGCCCGUCACGUCACGAAAGUUGGCAACACCCGAAGCCGGUGGCCUAACCCCCUUGCGGGGAGGGAGCUGUCGAAAGUGGGGUCGGCGAUUGGGACGAAGUCGUAACAAGGUAACC